GGUUCAGUGGUCUAGUGGUUAUGAUUUGUGUCUCACAAGGUACACACAAGGUCCCCAGUUCGAUCCUGGGCUGAACCA